GGGCGAGUAGCUCAGUGGCAGAGCGUCGCAUUUACACUGCGAAGGCCGCAGGUUCAAGUCCUGCCUCGCCCA
rnacentral:tRNA from 1 species